AAGACUAUACUUUCAGGGAUCAUAUCUAUAGUAUGUGACUAGAGAAUUUUCUCUGAUCGUGUAGAGCACCCGAAGCCACGAGGAGGAGCCAGAGCAUCCUCUCCUGAGCGUGAAGCCGGCUCUAGCUUCUGCGGCUGCCUUUUGCCAUUGAUGAUUCUUCUUCCCUUUCUUUGGAAGGGGUUGAGGGAGAGGAUGCAGUCUGAGUGGU